rnacentral:rRNA from 1 species
UACGUAGGGGGCAAGCGUUGUCCGGAAUCAUUGGGCGUAAAGAGCGUGUAGGCGGCCCGAUAAGUCCGCUGUGAAAGUCCAGGGCUCAACCCUGGAAUGCCGGUGGAUACUGUCGGGCUCGAAUCCGGAAGAGGUGAGUGGAAUUCCUGGUGUAGCGGUGAAAUGCGCAGAUAUCAGGAAGAACACCCGUGGCGAAGGCGGCUCUCUGGGACGGUACUGACGCUGAGACGCGAAAGCGUGGGGAGCGAACAGG